ensembl:snoRNA LOC120098702 small nucleolar RNA SNORA17
CCUGCCCCAGAGGCAUUGCUGUGUCACACGUGCAUCAGCAGAGAACAGAGGAGAGGCUACGUCUACACUCGGUGCUCUGAUCUAUGGACAUCUGAAUGAUUCGUAGCCUAAUUCA